AGUUAAUUAGCUUUAAAAGCAUUUGUUUUGAAAGCAAAAGACAGAAAUUAAAACCUCUAUUAACUU
rnacentral:tRNA from 1 species